AAUUAAGAGUUGAGCUCUGUGAUCUGAGGACACUGCAUCGUGCAUAACCACUGCUUUAAACAGUGUUGGAACACGAGCUACAUCAGCUUUCUCCUGUAUCUUGAGAAACUACAUAUGGUAUUUAAAGGUGAGAACGAAGCAUGGUCAUUCCAAGAAGUCAUUUUGAAACCAGCACAGUGCAAUGAGUGUCCCUCAGCAGCAGGGACGGAGGCUAUCGCGACAGCAGGGAUGGAGAUUACUAUCACAGCCGACUUCAUUUCCAAAUGUUCACUGAAAGGCAAUCAGAGGUGAUGUUCUCCCUCCUGCCUGCAUGUAGACAGACUUUCUGCUGAGCCAAUGUCAAAUACACACAGAGGAAGCACCACAGUGGCUGGAUCAAAGUAAAAAAACUCAGAAACCACUUCAGUGAGCUCCACAUUCAUCAUGGUCUCCUGGAGGUCUUCUUCACUGAUCCAAAUGAACAACCCUAGAAAGCAACUUCUGUAGCAGCCAAAGAAAACAAAGAAUUACAAUCAGAAAAAGAAAGAAAGAAAGAAAAAAGAAACUAAUGGUAAAUAAAGCAAUCAAGU
rnacentral:lncRNA from 7 species